rnacentral:rRNA from 1 species
UACGUAGGGGGCAAGCGUUGUCCGGAAUCAUUGGGCGUAAAGCGCGUGUAGGCGGUCCGGUAAGUCGGUUGUGAAAGUCCAGGGCUCAACCCUGGGAUGCCGAUCGAUACUGCCGGACUAGAGUCCGGAAGAGGCGAGUGGAAUUCCCGGUGUAGCGGUGAAAUGCGCAGAUAUCAGGAGGAACACCGGUGGCGAAGGCGGGACUCUGGGCCGAUACUGACGCUGAGGAGCGAAAGCGUGGGGAGCGAACAGG